UACGGAGGGGACUAGCGUUGUUCGGAAUUACUGGGCGUAAAGCGCACGUAGGCGGAUUUGUAAGUCAGGGGUGAAAUCCCGGGGCUCAACCUCGGAACUGCCUUUGAUACUCCAAAUCUCGAGUCCGGAAGAGGUGAGUGGAAUUCCUAGUGUAGAGGUGAAAUUCGUAGAUAUUAGGAAGAACACCAGUGGCGAAGGCGGCUCACUGGUCCGGUACUGACGCUGAGGUGCGAAAGCGUGGGGAGCAAACAGG
rnacentral:rRNA from 1 species